CAGCAGCCGCGGGAAUACGUAGGUGGCAAGCGUUGUCCGGAAUUAUUGGGCGUAAAGGGCUCGCAGGUGGUUUCUUAAGUCUGAUGUGAAAGCCCCCGGCUCAACCGGGGAGGGUCAUUGGAAACUGGGAAACUUGAGUGCAGAAGAGGAGAGUGGAAUUCCACGUGUAGCGGUGAAAUGCGUAGAGAUGUGGAGGAACACCAGUGGCGAAGGCGACUCUCUGGUCUGUAACUGACGCUGAGGAGCGAAAGCGUGGGGAGCGAACAGGAUUAGAUACCCGAGUAGUCCCUGUCUCUUAUAC
rnacentral:rRNA from 1 species